rnacentral:rRNA from 1 species
GAUGAACGCUAGCUACAGGCUUAACACAUGCAAGUCGAGGGGAAACGAUAGAGAAAGCUUGCUUUUCUAGGCGUCGACCGGCGCACGGGUGAGUAACGCGUAUCCAACCUGCCCAUCACUUGGGGAUAACCUUGCGAAAGUAAGACUAAUACCCAAUGACGUCUCUAGAAGACAUCUGAAGGAGAUUAAAGAUUUAUCGGUGAUGGAUGGGGAUGCGUCUGAUUAGCUUGUUGGCGGGGUAACGGCCCACCUAGCCAACGAUGGAUAGGGGUUCUGAGAGGAAGGUCCCCCACAUUGGAACUGAGACACGGUCCAAACUCCUACGGGAGGCAGCAGUGAGGAAUAUUGGUCAAUGGACGAGAGUCUGAACCAGCCAAGUAGCGUGAAGGAUGAAGGUCCUACGGAUUGUAAACUUCUUUUAUAAGGGAAUAAACCCUCCCACGUGUGGGAGCUUGUAUGUACCUUAUGAAUAAGCAUCGGCUAACUCCGUG